rnacentral:rRNA from 1 species
GCCCUUAGAGUUUGAUCCUGGCUCAGAACGAACGCUGGCGGCAGGCCUAACACAUGCAAGUCGAGCGAGGACUUCGGUCCUAGCGGCGGACGGGUGAGUAACGCGUGGGAACGUGCCCUUCUCUACGGAACAGUCCCGGGAAACUGGGUUUAAUACCGUAUACGCCCUUUGGGGGAAAGAAUUUCGGAGAAGGAUCGGCCCGCGUUGGAUUAGGUAGUUGGUGGGGUAAUGGCCUACCAAGCCGACGAUCCAUAGCUGGUUUGAGAGGAUGAUCAGCCACACUGGGACUGAGACACGGCCCAGACUCCUACGGGAGGCAGCAGUGGGGAAUCUUAGACAAUGAGGGCAACCCUGAUCUAGCCAUGCCGCGUGAGUGAAGAAGGCCUUAGGGUUGUAAAGCUCUUUCAGUCGUGAAGAUAAUGACGGUAGCGACAGAAGAAGCCCCGGCUAACUCCGUGCCAGCAGCCGCGGUAAUACGGAGGGGGCUAGCGUUGUUCGGAAUUACUGGGCGUAAAGCGCACGUAGGCGGACCUUUAAGUCGGGGGUGAAAUCCCGGGGCUCAACCCCGGAACUGCCUUCGAUACUGGGGGUCUGGAGUUCGAGAGAGGUGAGUGGAAUUCCGAGUGUA